AUGGGCACCUGCAACAAUGAGAAUGACUACCUCUUUAAUGUUAUCCUUAUUGGAGAUUCUGGUGUUGGAAAGAAUAAUCUCCUGUCUUGAUUUACUCAAAAUGAGUUUAAUCUGGAAAGCAAGAGCACCACUGGAGUAGUUUGCAACAAGAAGCAUCCAUAUUGAUAGGAAAACAAUAAAGGCACAGAUGUGGGACAGAGCAGGGCAAGAGUAAUACGAAGCUAUAACAUAAGCUUAUUAUCAUGAAGAUAUAGGUGCCUUAUUGGUUUAAGACAUUGCUAAACAUCUCACAUAUGAAAAUACAGAAUGAUUGCUGAAAGAACUGAGCGAUCACACUGAUAGUAAUGUUGUUGUCAUGUUAUCAUGGACAAAUAAGAGUGAUUUACAUCAUCUCAGGGAAGUUCCUAGAGUUGAAGGCAAGAGCUUUGGCAGAAAAAAAUGAUUUGUCAUUCAUUGAGACAUCUGCUCUAGACUCUACAAAUGUAGAAGCUACUUUUCAGACAAUUCUAACAGAGAUACCUCACAUUGUUUCUCAGAAGCAAAUGUCAGACAGAGCCGAAAAAGACAUGUCCCCAAGCAAUAAUGUGGUUCCUGUUCAUGUUCCACCAAUCACUGAAAACAAACCAAAGGUGCAGUGCUGUCAGAA
rnacentral:lncRNA from 1 species